GCGGGGGUGCCCGAGCAAGGUCAAAGGGGUCGGGCUUAGGACCCCAAUGGUAAGUACCCCGAUGGCGUAGGCCUGCGUGGGUUCAAGUCCCACCCCCCGCA
rnacentral:tRNA from 1 species